rnacentral:rRNA from 1 species
CCUACGGGAGGCAGCAGUGAGGAAUAUUGGUCAAUGGACGCAAGUCUGAACCAGCCAAGUAGCGUGCAGGAUGACGGCCCUCCGGGUUGUAAACUGCUUUUAGUUGGGAAUAAAAGGGGGCUCGUGAGCCCCGUAUUGUAUGUACCAUCAGAAAAAGGACCGGCUAAUUCCGUGCCAGCAGCCGCGGUAAUACGGAGGAUUCAAGCGUUAUCCGGAUUUAUUGGGUUUAAAGGGUGCGUAGGCGGUCGGAUAAGUUAGAGGUGAAAUCCCGAGGCUCAACUUCGGAAUUGCCUCUGAUACUGUUCGGCUAGAGAGUAGUUGCGGUAGGCGGAAUGUAUGGUGUAGCGGUGAAAUGCUUAGAGAUCAUACAGAACACCGAUUGCGAAGGCAGCUUACCAAGCUACUUCUGACGUUGAGGCACGAAAGCGUGGGGAGCAAACAGGAUUAGAUACCCCAGUAGUC